GGGCGUCUGAGGCAAUUGCCAAGCCCACUGGGCAAUGGUGGCAGGGACUGGAGCUGACAUCCUGUCCCCGUCACUCCUGCCCAUUGAUGCUAUCCGUGGAGCACCCGCUCUGGCCGGAUGCAGUGGGCGGUCCCUUCAUCUUCUGCUGCAGAUCCGCCUGGGGAGUGUUUAUUUCCUCAUUUUACAGUGCCACCUUUUCUGCAUGGAAGGAGAUCAUGAAAUGUAGGACGGAAAACACAAAUCAAACCCCAGGUUGCCAAGGGGAUGCAGAGCAAAGGAAGACAGGUGGAAACGAUGAGGCGGCCUUCCG
rnacentral:lncRNA from 1 species